CCCGCUGAGUUUAAGCAUAUAAAUAAGCGGCGGAGAAGAAACUUACAAGGAUUCCCCUAGUAACGGCGAGCGAACCGGGAGCAGCCCAGCUUGAGAAUCGGGCGACUGUGCCGUCCGAAUUGUAGUCUGGAGAGGCGUCCUCAGCGACGGACCGGGCCCAAGUCCCCUGGAAAGGGGCGCCUGGGAGGGUGAGAGCCCUGUUCAAUGAUCCACGGACAUGGUUAUAAUUUUUAUUACAUUUGUCGUUCUUUGUACUGCCAUCAUUAAAAAUGAAUAGAUUGGAAGUUUCUCGCAAAUAAAAAAAGAGCGCGAAU
rnacentral:ncRNA from 2 species